AUGUGGGUUCUUCAUAAAUUAAGGGUUCUAACCAUCUGUCUGUGGUAUUUUCUGCAAACAUUCUUUCCAGUUGUUUGUCUUUUAAUUUUGCUUGUAUUUUUUAAUCACACCAGAAUUUUUUGUUUUUUUUGUAGCAUGGAUCUGUCAAACAUUUCCUCUGUGGUUUCUUCCACGGCUUUGAAGCUUAGAAAGCCCUUCACCAUGUACAGAGCAGUUGAGGAAGGGAGUUCCCAGCUCCCUAACUCUGCCGAAGGCCUCCUUGGAAAUACAUCCCUGGGAAUGACAUUCCCGAAUCAAAAGACCUUAAGCUGCUUCCAGCUCUUGCUCCAGUGUCACCCAUUGCUUCCAGAAGGAUGGUCCCCGUUUUCAGUGCUGGUAGACUGAGUCCACUUCAGCUUUAUCUACAAAACGUUGCACACAGAACGUCAAAUGAUCCUCCGUCAUCAAGAAAAUGGCAAGUGAUGGAGCUCGGUCACUGUUCUGGGCUGUAAUACGGUGGUGCCCGGAGGGGCGUCUGUAUCAUAAAGAACCGGUGACUCUUCUCUAAGAGGCGUGGGAUAAUAGACCCUCCGGUUAAUAGAUCCAAACUGGUUUAGAAGUUGCAUUUUCUUCCACCUCAAGGAAGGGAAGCAGAGUGAGGUGGGAAGAGCAAGUCGCUUUAUGUGCCUCAGUAUAUCCACCUGUAAAAUGGGGAUCGUAACACCAAACUCCCAGGAUGGUUGUGAAGAUUCCAAGGAUAACAGACGUAGCAUUCCCAGCACCUCACAUAGCAGGCACCCAACAAACGUUGCUUCUCUGGGCCUCUCCCUCUCCCACGGCCUCUUCUUAAUUUAGCAAGCGUCACACAUUUUACGCUCAGGCUGAAAUAUGGCCAGUGAUAUGUCCUUGGUUUCUCCUGGAGAGAGAGAAAAAAAAGGAUAAUAUUCUUUGCCUAAUUAUAAUAGUGAUACAUGGUCACCAAAUAAAAAUUUGGAAAGUGUGGGAAAGUACAAAGAAGGAAAUAAACAUCGCCCACAGUUUCACGCCCCAGAUCUGUCCCUGUGAACGUCUGGGUGUGUCUCCUCGGGGGUGUUGGGCCACUUCUUAUUCUCAGAAUUCUAAGGUGUGGCCCCGGGACCGUGUGACACCUCUGUCGAGGCACCGUCGACAUGGAGGAUUGCAGGGGUGGGGGGCAUGGGAGACAUGGGGUCCCAGCUCUGAGGGGGUCCUGGAGGCGGCCAAGGGGAGGCCCAUGGGCCUCAAGGCUCGGUCCUCACCACCUACAGAGAGCAAGACUGGGAAGCCUUGGACGACAGGCCUGGGCUUUAUUCUCCCCCUUCCCCUGCAAGGCCCUGGACAAACUCGUCCAGACUUGGGGCUCCUCCUGUCUCUGGGCCUCAGUUCCCUUAUCUAUCAAAGGAGCAGAAGGGCCAUGAAUUUCGGGACUAACAUUGUGUGGCGCCAGAGGCAUGUGUGAAGAAAGGGCUGCGAUGCUCGCAGGGCCUUACCCAGAGGACAUCCUCUUUGUGUCAUUUAUUAUUUAUUUAAAGAUUUUAUUAUUUAUUUGAGAGAGAGAGAGAGAGGGAGACACAGAACGAGCAGGGAGGAGAGGCGGAAGGAGAGGGAGAAGCAGACUCCCCACUGAGCAGAGAGCCUCCCCAAAGGAAGCCUCGAUCCCAGGACCCUGAGAUCAUGACCCGAGCCGGUGGCAGAUGCUUAACCCACUGAGCCACCCAGGCGUCCCACAUCCUCUUUAUUUCCCCGGUGUCCUCACAGCCCUCGCCUUAGAGGAGGAUGGACCUCCUACCAGCCUCGGACCGCCUUAGUACUGGGCCAACUCGAUCAGCCUCCUCAGCUGCUCUUGGAGUCCUCGAGUCGGGCAUGAAGCCCUCUGGGAGCUGUGUGAGUGUUAGAAACUGCACACGAAGAGGCCUCUGAGGCGAUACAGCGGACUUGCGGCCCCGCUGGUGGACAGCGAUUGCUCAGGUUCAAAUCCCAGCUCCACCACCACCGGCUGCGUGAGCUCAGCCAAGUUACUUAACUGCUCUGUGCCUCCCUCACCUCUAAGUUGGGAAAGAUGAUGGGAAUCAGGCGUGGAUUAAAUGGGUUCAUCGGACGUGAGAACCUUAGAACAGCGCUUGACACGCAGCAGGUGCCGGGUGAGCGGUAGGCAGUGUUGCUCUGCUGCCGAAACGCAGGGAGCCCUCGGGAGCGUGCUCUUGAGAACUGUGAACAGAUUCCAAAAGUGCAGAUGCGUUUGACGUGAAAGUGAAAGUUUCUCUUCCUCCACCUACUCUCACUCUCCAGAAGUAACCACUGUGAGUUCAGUGGGCCACCUUCCAGAUCUUUCUCUAGACAUACACAAUGAUCAUACGUAUCUAGAGUUUUCUU
rnacentral:lncRNA from 1 species